AUCUAGCCGAUGAGUCUCAGAUAGAACGAAACAAGCGUCCUGGAU
rnacentral:hammerhead_ribozyme from 1 species